AGGAAAAUGGCCGGGAUGUGUAAGGAGCUCAAGAUUGUGUGAGGAACAUGAGCGCAUGCGCCCUGUAGUUCCGUAUUCGUAAUCCAGCAGACGUGUGCUUUCUGUGGGACUGUGAUGAAAGUCUGCCUGCUCUGAAAAUGGAGGCAUGAAUGUCCAGGGACGCUUAGCUUAUGGUCAGCAGCUAUAUUACCCUGCAAACUCACAACUUGCAGUCCACUGAAACUCAGCAGGGAACCCUGUGAAACAGCUGAACGAGGCGAUCAGUGUUCCGCUGGACGGCGGAUAACAUCAGCGUCUCGCAGCUCUGGAGAGAGGUCUUCUGAAUUAAAGGCCGAGUUCCUACCAGCAAACAAAUCGCAUCUGCGGAAACAUUCCUCCUUCUGCUUGUGAGAGAGGAAACUAGCGAUGGUGAUGACCCCAGGUCAUUCAUGAUGAUGAACCCCCUGGCAUUUCAAUAUACAGAGGUGUCCAGAGGUGUGACAUCACCCGCUCUCUCCUCUGAAGAAUCUCUGCACCUUGCAGUCCUCUGUCGUAGUGUUUGCCUCCUCCUUCCUGGACCACUGUUAAACACUGUGUCCACCAGAGCUUCCCUCAACAAUGCAAUUCAAUGUAUUUUUAUAUAGCGCCUUUCACAACACGGUUGCCCCGAGGCACUUAACGAAGCAAGUGACCCUACAAGUUCAAGUUCAAGUUUAUUGUCAUUAUACUCAUAUACAGGUAUAUGGUAUAACGAAAAGCUAUU